CUCACUCACCAUCCGCCUCCUUUCCCCUUUUAUCUCUUACUUUCAUCAUUCUCUCUUCUCUGUCACACCUAGGAUUUUGCACAAAUUAGUGCAAGGCCACUAAAGGAUGAUUGUGACACCGAUAUCAUUACUCAAACCGUGAUUCUAGCCGAAAAUAUUCCACUCUCAUCAUCCCUUUCAAACCCCCAAAUUUUGAAACCUUAGCCGAAAAAAUGAAAGGCCCCGAAUCUCAUCAUCACACCCAUUUUCUGUUCAAAUCGCGAUUAAAACAUGUCAUGCAUUCCAGAUUCAUUAGAAUUUUCCAGCCUCAUCAUGGCGAUCAAUGACCCAAAGGUCAAACGAAGGGAUUAGGGUUAUAACUUUGUCCGGCGGUCACUGGCUUCAACGGCUAUCAAUUUCGUCAUUCCUAAAUGCCAAUUAAUUUUCUUUUCUUCUUUGCCUGAAUACAUUGGGUUUGUGGAGUUCAUGGCGAACUCUGGCCCAAAGCCACUGAGUUGGGCCAUCUCCCCUUGUUGCAUUCACUGUCCACUGGAGUUUUCUGCUGCUUAAGUUUGAACUGGGCAUGACUAAUCUUCAGCACAACACUAAGUCCAGUCCUUUACCUCACUUUAAAUCGUUGCCACUGUUAGCCUAUUUAUAUUUAUAUAUUGUAUUUUGGAACUAACAUUGAUAUUAUGUGAUUUUAUUUUA